GGGUGAGUAACACGUGAGUAACCUGCCUUUCAGAGGGGGAUAACGUUCUGAAAAGAACGCUAAUACCGCAUAAGAUUGUAGCUUCGCAUGGAGCAGCAAUCAAAGGAGCAAUCCGCUGAAAGAUGGACUCGCGUCCGAUUAGAUAGUUGGCGGGGUAACGGCCCACCAAGUCGACGAUCGGUAGCCGGACUGAGAGGUUGAUCGGCCACAUUGGGACUGAGACACGGCCCAGACUCCUACGGGAGGCAGCAGUGAGGGAUAUUGGGCAAUGGGGGAAACCCUGACCCAGCAACGCCGCGUGAGGGAUGACGGUUUUCGGAUUGUAAACCUCUGUCCUCUGUGAAGAUAGUGACGGUAGCAGAGGAGGAAGCUCCGGCUAACUACGUGCCAGCAGCCGCGGUAAUACGUAGGGAGCAAGCGUUGUCCGGAUUUACUGGGUGUAAAGGGUGCGUAGGCGGAUUGGCAAGUCAGAAGUGAAAUCCAUGGGCUUAACCCAUGAACUGCUUUUGAAACUGUUAGUCUUGAGUGAAGUAGAGGUAGGCGGAAUUCCCGGUGUAGCGGUGAAAUGCGUAGAGAUCGGGAGGAACACCAGUGGCGAAGGCGGCCUACUGGGCUUUAACUGACGCUGAGGCACGAAAGUGUGGGUAGCAAACAGGAUUAGAUACCCUGGUAGUCCACACUGUAAACGAUGAUUACUAGGUGUGGGGGGUCUAACCCCCUCCGUGCCGGAGUUAACACAAUAAGUAAUCCACC
rnacentral:rRNA from 1 species